rnacentral:tRNA from 1 species
GUGGGCGUAGCUCAGUUAGGUAGAGCUCCGGAUUGUGGCUCCGGUGGUCGUGGGUUCAAGUCCCAUCGCUCACC